rnacentral:rRNA from 1 species
GGGGGCGGGAGAGGCCGAGGGUACUCCCGGGGUAGGGGCGAAAUCCGUUAAUCCCGGGAGGACCACCAGUGGCGAAGGCGCUCGGCUGGAACGCGCCCGACGGUGAGGGACGAAAGCUGGGGGAGCAAAGGGGAUUAGAUACCCCCGUAGUCCCAGCCGUAAACGAUGCGGGCUAGGUGUUGGGUGGGCCUAGAGCCCACCCAGUGCCGCAGGGAAGCCGUUAAGCCCGCCGCCUGGGGAGUACGGCCGCAAGGCUGAAACUCCGGGAGGGGCUGUGAAACGAGGAGACGGGGUAGGUGUUUACCCAUGGGUCAAUAUAAACGUCGAAAGCUGUUAGAGAGACGAGUGAGAGAAGAAUAUAGAGAGUAUAGUGAGGCACUAAAACGAUCGGUUAAAGCUUUGGAAGAUCACGGCCUCUCAUCAACGUACAUGGACGACAUACUAUAUUUAAUAGGGGCACUAAGGGACGGAAGUGUGUACAAAGAUGUAGCAGCACGAAAUUAUGUCGUGGCUUACUAUCAAAAGAACAGAGAAUGGCUUGAGAACUCUGUGGGCAAGAGAAUUAAACGUUUGGGCUUUAAAUAUCGUAUAGAUGAGCCGAGAAGUGGGCAGUUUAGACUACGUGUAUAUAGCAAGAAGCUCUAUAAUGCAAUACGAGAGCUCUUUGAGUUCCCUCCUGAAGGUAAAGGACAAGAAGACUGGGGAGUUCCAGAAAUGCUUAAGAAAUUGCCACCGUUUCUACUAACUUCAUUUAUAAAAGGCCUAUUCGAUGCCGAAGGUGAUAUAUCGCCAAAAUCAUCGAAGUCGCUGUAUAUCGGAAUAUCCCAAAAGAAUAAAGAGCUCUUGGAAUUCGUAAAGGAUAUCCUCGAGAAGCUUGGAAUAAAAACUGGCGAGAUACAUUUAAUAGAUAGUCGUACAAAAACUCUACGAUUGGCUAUAGGAAGUUACGAGUCAAUUAUUAGGUUUAUCAAGCUUAUCGGUUGUGAACAUCCGGAUAAAAAAUCCCGUCUCCUCGCACUAUUGCCUCCUCCCGGGCAGCAAACUUAAAGGAAUUGGCGGGGGAGCACCACAAGGGGUGAAGCUUGCGGUUUAAUUGGAGUCAACGCCGGAAACCUUACCGGGGGCGACAGCAGGAUGACGGCCAGGCUGACGACCUUGCCCGACGAGCUGAGAGGAGGUGCAUGGCCGUCGCCAGCUCGUGCCGUGAGGUGUCCGGUUAAGUCCGGCAACGAGCGAGACCCCCGCCCCUAGUUGCCACCCAGUCCCCUCGGGGACUGGAGCACACUAGGGGGACUGCCGGCGCUAAGCCGGAGGAAGGAGGGGGCCACGGCAGGUCAGUAUGCCCCGAAACCCCCGGGCUACACGCGAGCUGCAAUGGCGGGGACAGCGGGUUCCGACCCCGAAAGGGGAAGGCAAUCCCGUAAACCCCGCCUCAGUUGGAAUCGAGGGCUGCAACUCGCCCUCGUGAACGUGGAAUCCCUAGUAACCGCGUGUCAUCAACGCGCGGUGAAUACGUCCCUGCUCCUUGCACACACCGCCCGUCGCUCCACCCGAGUCGGGAUCGAGUGAGGCUCGGCUCCGUGAGGGGUCGGGUCAAACUCGAUCCCGACAAGGGGGGAGAAGUCGUAACAAGGUGGCCGUAGGGGAACCUGCGGCCGGAUCACCUCCUUCCGCC